CAGAGGGCUCCAUAAGACCGUGCACGUACAGUGUUGUCCUUUUUUCUUUUCCAGACGAGGUCUCAUCAGACCUUGAAUUCACUAUGGAGUUCAGGAUGACCCGCGGCUUCAAAUCUUCCUCCCUCUAUCUCCCAAAUCCCAAAUGCCGCCAUUGCAGUGCACACAAGUACAUAGUCCAGACAGAUGGGAGAUCUCAUAGACAAGGUGCCAGCCAGCCACUGAGGAUAGCCAAGCACAGACAAUUCCUAACCCACAACAAUUAUACCUUGGUUACCCACUCUGGAUUCAUUGGCCUACAGGUGCUACUCUCAAUCAAGAAUAACCAUCAGACUCAGGCUAAAGGACUUCAGCUUCAAGCCCAGUGUUUUCAAGAGCCCUUUCUUGCUUUCUGUAUGAGUUCUAUCUCAGCAUGAGGAUCCAAUAUAACCAAGGGACAUGCUCUCUCUUCCAUGGUACAGGUACCCAAGACUGUGAUUCCCCACACUCAUGACCCCAUGUUCCCUUCUAGUGCCUGUACCCCCUUUUUUCUAAGGUCACUCCUCAAAACAGUGACUCUAUCUCUUAUACAAGUAACGUAGACCUGGGAUGGACCCAAGAGGCUAGGAUGCUGUGGCCUGAGUUUGGACAUAAAGUCGUUGCCUGUGUGUCUGAAUCCUCCUUGCAACAUCUGGGGCCAGGUAUGCAACCAUCCAGAGCUCUGGAGAACAGUGUCCUUGGCCCACUUUCUGGGAUCUUGUUACCCACAAUUGUAGUUACCUGCACUCAACUGGGAUGUCCUGAAUAGUUUCAUGUCAACUUGACCCAGAAGGAACCUCAACUAAGAACAUGCCUCCACAAGAGUAGGCUGUGGCCCAGACUGGAGGGCGUUAUCUUAAUUAGUGAUUAAUGGGGAAAGGCCCAGCCCAUCGUGGGUGGGGCCAUUCCUGGGCUGGUGGU